GCAAUUGUAGACUGGUAGAAUUUAUCUGCUGUGAAUUUGACCAGGAUGUAUUGGACUGCCUUGAUCAACUGUCCAUAUAAUCAUUAUGUUCUGGAGGGUCCAAACUCAAACCUAACAUUCUUGAGGUACUACAAGCCUUAGGAGAGAAGCCAUUUGCCAUAAAAUGUCCAAAAUACAUUUGAAGUGAUGAUCAUCAUCAAUGGCUUUGGGUGAAGGUUGUCUGUAAUUGCCAAGUCAACAUUUACCGAGCCAAUAUCUGGUGCCUCUCGCAAGCUGAAGAAUAUAUAGAAAAACCAACAUUCGUCACAUUUGAUCUUGCAGCUACCAGACUUGUGUUGGACAAGGAGCCUUGCCCUGUAUUACUCAAACUGGAGCGGUGGAGGUAGAGUCCGGGG